rnacentral:rRNA from 1 species
UUCCGGUUGAUCCUGCCGGACCUGACUGCUAUCGGAUUGAUACUAAGCCAUGCGAGUCAUUGUAGCAAUACAAGGCAUACGGCUCAGUAACGCGUAGUCAACCUAACCUAUGGACGGGAAUAACCUCGGGAAACUGAGAAUAAUGCCCGAUAGAACAUUAUACCUGGAAUGGUUUAUGUUCCAAAUGAUUUAUCGCCGUAGGAUGGGACUGCGGCCUAUCAGUUUGUUGGUGAGGUAAUGGCCCACCAAGACUAUUACAGGUACGGGCUCUGAGAGGAGUAGCCCGGAGAUGGGUACUGAGACACGGACCCAGGCCCUAUGGGGCGCAGCAGGCGAGAAAACUUUGCAAUGUGCGAAAGCACGACAAGGUUAAUCCGAGUGAUUUCUGCUAAAGAAAUCUUUUGUUAGUCCUAGAAACACUAACGAAUAAGGGGUGGGCAAGUUCUGGUGUCAGCCGCCGCGGUAAAACCAGCACCUCAAGUGGUCAGGAUGAUUAUUGGGCCUAAAGCAUCCGUAGCCGGCUCUGUAAGUUUUCGGUUAAAUCUGUACGCUCAACGUACAGGCCGCCGGGAAUACUGCAAAGCUAGGGAGUGGGAGAAGUAGACGGUACUCGGUAGGAAGUGGUAAAAUGCUUUGAUCUAUCGAUGACCACCUGUGGCGAAGGCGGUCUACUAGAACACGUCCGACGGUGAGGGAUGAAAGCUGGGGGAGCAAACCGGAUUAGAUACCCGGGUAGUCCCAGCUGUAAACUAUGCAAACUCAGUGAUGCAUUGGCUUGUGGCCAAUGCAGUGCUGCAGGGAAGCCGUUAAGUUUGCCGCCUGGGAAGUACGUACGCAAGUAUGAAACUUAAAGGAAUUGGCGGGGGGGCACCACAAGGGGUGAAGCCUGCGGUUCAAUUGGAUUCAACGCCGGG